rnacentral:rRNA from 1 species
GAUGAACGCUGGCGGCGUGCCUAAUACAUGCAAGUCGAGCGAACAGACGAGGAGCUUGCUCCUCUGACGUUAGCGGCGGACGGGUGAGUAACACGUGGAUAACCUACCUAUAAGACUGGGAUAACUUCGGGAAACCGGAGCUAAUACCGGAUAAUAUAUUGAACCGCAUGGUUCAAUAGUGAAAGACGGUUUUGCUGUCACUUAUAGAUGGAUCCGCGCCGCAUUAGCUAGUUGGUAAGGUAACGGCUUACCAAGGCAACGAUGCGUAGCCGACCUGAGAGGGUGAUCGGCCACACUGGAACUGAGACACGGUCCAGACUCCUACGGGAGGCAGCAGUAGGGAAUCUUCCGCAAUGGGCGAAAGCCUGACGGAGCAACGCCGCGUGAGUGAUGAAGGUCUUCGGAUCGUAAAACUCUGUUAUUAGGGAAGAACAAAUGUGUAAGUAACUAUGCACGUCUUGACGGUACCUAAUCAGAAAGCCCCGGCUAACUACGU